rnacentral:rRNA from 1 species
UACGGAGGAUCCAAGCGUUAUCCGGAUUUAUUGGGUUUAAAGGGUGCGUAGGCGGAUUGAUAAGUUAGAGGUGAAAUGUCCGAGCUCAACUCGGGAACUGCCUCUAAUACUGUUGAUCUAGAGAGUAGAUGCGGUAGGCGGAAUGUAUGGUGUAGCGGUGAAAUGCUUAGAUAUCAUGAAGAACUCCGAUCGCGAAGGCAAGUGUCCGGGGUGCAACUGACGCUGAGGCUCGAAAGUGCGGGUAUCAAACAGG